GAUGAACGCUGGCGGCGUGCCUAAUACAUGCAAGUCGAGCGAACGGACGAGAAGCUUGCUUCUCUGAUGUUAGCGGCGGACGGGUGAGUAACACGUGGAUCACCUACCUAUAAGACUGGGAUAAUUUCGGGAAACCGGAUCUAAUACCGGAUAAUAUUUUGAUCCGCAUGGUUCAAAAGUAAAUUUCGGUCUUGCUGUCUCUUCUAGAUGCAUCCGCGCUGCAUUAUCUAGUUGGUAAGUUAACGGCUUACCAAGGCAACGAUGCAUAGCCGACCUGAGAGGGGGAUCGGCCACAAGAGAACGGAGACACGGUCCAGACUCCUGAGGGAGGCAGCAGUAGGGAAUCUUACGCAAUGGGCGAGAGCCUGAAGGAGCAACGCCGCGUGAGUGAUGAAAGUGUUCGGAGCGUAAAAAUCGGUUAUUAUGGAAGAACAUAUGUGUAAGUAAAUGUGCACAUCGUGACGGUACCUAAUCAGAAAGCCACGGCUAACUACGUG
rnacentral:rRNA from 1 species